rnacentral:rRNA from 1 species
CGAGCGGUAGCACAAGGGAGCUUGCUCCCUGGGUGACGAGCGGCGGACGGGUGAGUAAUGUCUGGGAAACUGCCUGAUGGAGGGGGAUAACUACUGGAAACGGUAGCUAAUACCGCAUAACGUCGCAAGACCAAAGAGGGGGACCUUCGGGCCUCUUGCCAUCAGAUGUGCCCAGAUGGGAUUAGCUAGUAGGUGGGGUAAUGGCUCACCUAGGCGACGAUCCCUAGCUGGUCUGAGAGGAUGACCAGCCACACUGGAACUGAGACACGGUCCAGACUCCUACGGGAGGCAGCAGUGGGGAAUAUUGCACAAUGGGCGCAAGCCUGAUGCAGCCAUGCCGCGUGUGUGAAGAAGGCCUUCGGGUUGUAAAGCACUUUCAGCGAGGAGGAAGGUGGUGAGCUUAAUACGUUCAUCAAUUGACGUUACUCGCAGAAGAAGCACCGGCUAACUCCGUGCCAGCAGCCGCGGUAAUACGGAGGGUGCAAGCGUUAAUCGGAAUUACUGGGCGUAAAGCGCAC